rnacentral:rRNA from 1 species
UACGGGGGGUGCGAGCGUUGUCCGGAAUCACUGGGCGUAAAGGGCGCGUAGGUGGUUUGAUAAGGGUGUGGUGAAAGCCCGGGGCUCAACCCCGGGUCUGCCCGUGCCGACUGUCAAACUCGAGGGCUGUAGAGGCAGACGGAAUUCCCGGUGUAGUGGUGGAAAUGCGUAGAGAUCGGGAGGAACACCAGUGGCGAAGGCGGCCGGCUGGGGGUGACCUGACGCUG